rnacentral:rRNA from 1 species
UAACGCGUAGGUAACCUGCCUGGUAGCGGGGGAUAACUAUUGGAAACGAUAGCUAAUACCGCAUGACAACAGUUAUUGCAUGAUAACUGUUUAAAAGGGGCAACUGCUCCACUACCAGAUGGACCUGCGUUGUAUUAGCUAGUUGGUGAGGUAACGGCUCACCAAGGCGACGAUACAUAGCCGACCUGAGAGGGUGAUCGGCCACACUGGGACUGAGACACGGCCCAG